GGAUCAUUACAGAGUUCAUGCCCUAACGGGUAGAUCUCCCACCCUGUGUUAUUAUUACUUUGUUGCUUUGGCGGGCCGUCAGGCUCACGCCUGCCACCGGCUCCGGCUGGUGUGAGCCCGCCAGAGGACCCAAAACCCUGAAUAUUAGUGUCGUCUGAGUACUAUAUAAUAGUUAAAACUUUCAACAACGGAUCUCUUGGUUCUGGCAUCGAUGAAGAACGCAGCGAAAUGCGAUAAGUAAUGUGAAUUGCAGAAUUCAGUGAAUCAUCGAAUCUUUGAACGCACAUUGCGCCCCUUGGUAUUCCGGGGGGCAUGCCUGUUCGAGCGUCAUUACACCCCUCAAGCCUGGCUUGGUACUGGGCUUCGCCGUUUUCUCGGCGGGCCUUAAAAUCAGUGGCGGUGCCUCCGUGGCCCUAAGCGUAGUAAACAUCCUCGCUUCUGGACCCGGUGGCUACUGGCCAGUAACCCCCAACUUUCUAAGUUUGACCUC
rnacentral:rRNA from 1 species